rnacentral:rRNA from 1 species
UUGGAGGGCAAGUCUGGUGCCAGCAGCCGCGGUAAUUCCAGCUCCAAUAGCGUAUAUUAAAGUUGUUGCAGUUAAAAAGCUCGUAGUUGAAUUUCGGGAUUCUUCCGUUGGUCAGGCUAACAAGUCUGUACUAGCGUGUAGAAUCUCUACCUUCUGGGGAACCAUCAUGUUAUUAAUUUAGCGUGGUGGGAAACCAGGACCUUUACCUUGAAAAAAUUAGAGUGUUCAAAGCAGGCUUACGUCUGAAUACAUUAGCAUGGAAUAAUAAAAUAGGACGGUGGUCCUGUUUUGUUGGUUUCUGAAUCACCGUAAUGAUUAAUAGGGAUAGUUGGGGGCAUUAGUAUUCAAAUGUCAGAGGUGAAAUUCUUGGAUUUAUUGAAGACUAACUUCUGCGAAAGCAUUUGCCAAGGAUGUUUUCAUUAAUCAAGAACGAAAGUUAGGGGAUCGAAGACGAUCAGAUACCGUCGUAGCCUUCACCAUAAACUAUGCCGACUAGGGAUCGGACGAUGUUAAUUUUUUAAUGACUCGUUCGGCGCCUUACGGGAAAC